rnacentral:rRNA from 1 species
AAACUCAAAGGAAUUGACGGGGACCCGCACAAGCAGCGGAGCGUGUGGUUUAAUUCGUUGCUACACGAAGAACCUUACCUGGGUUUGACAUAUAGGUUGUAGGGAACUGAAAAGGGACCGACCCUUCGGGAGCCUAUACAGGUGUUGCAUGGCUGUCGUCAGCUCGUGUCGUGAGAUGUUCGGUUAAGUCCGCUAACGAGCGCAACCCUCGUCGUAUGUUAUAUGUGUCAUACGAGACUGCCGGUAAAAGCCGGAGGAAGGUGAGGAUGAUGUCAAGUCAGCAUGACCUUUAUAUCCAGGGCUACACACACGCUACAAUGGUCUGUACAAUGGGUAGCCAAGCCGCGAGGCGGAGCCAAUCCUGAAAGCAGGCCUCAGUUCAGAUUGCAGUCUGCAACUCGACUGCAUGAAGCCGGAGUUGCUAGUAACCGCAGGUCAGCAAUACUGCGGUGAAUACGUUCCCGGGUCUU